rnacentral:rRNA from 1 species
GGAAAGUUUUUCGGUCAAGGAUGGACUCGCGGCCUAUCAGCUUGUUGGUGAGGUAAUGGCUCACCAAGGCGUCGACGGGUAGCCGGCCUGAGAGGGCGACCGGCCACACUGGGACUGAGACACGGCCCAGACUCCUACGGGAGGCAGCAGUGGGGAAUAUUGCACAAUGGGCGAAAGCCUGAUGCAGCGACGCCGCGUGAGGGAUGAAGGCCUUCGGGUUGUAAACCUCUUUCAGUAGGGAAGAAGCGAAAGUGACGGUACCUGCAGAAGAAGCGCCGGCUAACUACGUGCCAGCAGCCGCGGUAAUACGUAGGGCGCAAGCGUUGUCCGGAAUUAUUGGGCGUAAAGAGCUCGUAGGCGGUUUGUCGCGUCUGGUGUGAAAACUCAAGGCUCAACCUUGAGCUUGCAUCGGGUACGGGCAGACUAGAGUGUGGUAGGGGUGACUGGAAUUCCUGGUGUAGCGGUGGAAUGCGCAGAUAUCAGGAGGAACACCGAUGGCGAAGGCAGGUCACUGGGCCACUACUGACGCUGAGGAGCGAAAGCAUGGGGAGCGAACAGGAUUAGAUACCCUGGUAGUCCAUGCCGUAAACGUUGGGCACUAGGUGUGGGGCUCAUUCCACGAGUUCCGCGCCGCAGCUAACGCAUUAAGUGCCCCGCCUGGGGAGUACGGCCGCAAGGCUAAAACUCAAAGGAAUUGACGGGGGCCCGCACAAGCGGCGGAGCAUGCGGAUUAAUUCGAUGCAACGCGAAGAACCUUACCAAGGCUUGACAUACACCGGAAUCAUGCAGAGAUGUGUGCGUCUUCGGACUGGUGUACAGGUGGUGCAUGGUUGUCGUCAGCUCGUGUCGUGAGAUGUUGGGUUAAGUCCCGCAACGAGCGCAACCCUCGUCCUAUGUUGCCAGCACGUUAUGGUGGGGACUCAUAGGAGACUGCCGGGGUCAACUCGGAGGAAGGUGGGGAUGACGUCAAAUCAUCAUGCCCCUUAUGUCUUGGGCUUCACGCAUGCUACAAUGGCCGGUACAAAGGGCUGCGAUACCGCGAGGUGGAGCGAAUCCCAAAAAGCCGGUCUCAGUUCGGAUUGGGGUCUGCAACUCGACCCCAUGAAGUCGGAGUCGCUAGUAAUCG